rnacentral:rRNA from 1 species
AGCGAACGCUGGCGGCAGGCUUAACACAUGCAAGUCGAGCGCCCGUAGCAAUACGGGGGCGGCAGACGGGAGAGUAACACGUGGGAACAUACCUUUUGGUUCGGAACAACCCAGGGAAACUUGGGCUAAUACCGGAUAAGCCCUUACGGGGAAAGGAUUUAUCGCCGAAAGAUUGGCCCGCGUCUGAUUAGCUAGUUGGUGAGGUAACGGCUCACCAAGGCUACGAUCAGUAGCUGGUCUGAGAGGAUGAUCAGCCUCACUGGGACUGAGACACGGCCCAGACUCCUACGGGAGGCAGCAGUGGGGAAGUAUUGGACAAUGGGCGCAAGCCUGAUCCAGCCAUGCCGCGUGAGUGAUGAAGGCCUUAGGGUUGUAAAGCUCUUUUAGCGGGGAAGAUAAUGACGGUACCCGC